CCUGACUGCUAUCGGAUUGAUACUAAGCCAUGCGAGUCUUUGUAGUAAUACAAGGCAGACGGCUCAGUAACACGUAGUCAACCUACCCUAUGGACAAGAAUAAUCUCGGGAAACUGGGCAUAAUUCUUGAUAGAUCAUAAUGCCUGGAAUGGUUUAUGGUUAAAAUGAUUCGUCGCCAUAGGAUGGGACUGCGGCCUAUCAGCUUGUUGGUGAGGUAAUGGCCCACCAAGGCGAUUACAGGUACGGGCUCUGAGAGGAGAAGCCCGGAGAUGGGUACUGAGACACGGACCCAGGCCCUAUGGGGCGCAGCAGGCGAGAAAACUUUGCAAUGUGCGAAAGCACGACAAGGUUAAUCCGAGUGAUUUCUGCUAAAGAAAUCUUUUGCCAGUCAUAAAACCACUGGUGAAUAAGGGGUGGGCAAGUUCUGGUGUCAGCCGCCGCGGUAAAACCAGCACCUCAAGUGGUCAGGAUGAUUAUUGGGCCUAAAGCAUCCGUAGCCGGCUUUGUUAGUUUUCGGUUAAAUCCAUGUGCUCAACGCAUGGGCUGCCGAAAAUACUGCAUAGCUAGGGAGUGGGAGAGGUAGAUGGUACUCAGUAGGAAGGGGUAAAAUCCUUUGAUCUAUUGAUGACCACCUGUGGCGAAGGCGGUCUACCAGAACACGUUCGACGGUGAGGGAUGAAAGCUGGGGGAGCAAACCGGAUUAGAUACCCGGGUAGUCCCAGCUGUAAACGAUGCAGACUCGAUGACGCAUUGGCAUAAUAGCCAGUGCAGUGUCGCAGGGAAGCCGUUAAGUCUGCCGCCUGGGAAGUACGUACGCAAGUAUGAAACUUAAAGGAAUUGGCGGGGGAGCACCACAAGGGGUGAAGCCUGCGGUUC
rnacentral:rRNA from 2 species